AUGUCUCAUAUUUACCAUAUAAAGUGCUGUUUUGACACUGCAGAUCGAAUUAUCUAAACGCUGAUGACUCUUACCUAAAUAAUAAGUUAUCUAUCUAUAUAUAAAUCGAAUAUAUUUAUAGAUAUAACGAUUUAUUGUUCAUAUGUUUAUUAUUUUUAAGAGGCGCCGCUCAUUGGUGUCGUUUUGAGCAGCUAAGACUGCAUAAAAUAACAGGCUAAUUCUGCUCUUUUAAGCCGGAGUUUGAAAAGUAAAGAAUAAAAAUGAAACGACAUACCCGCCGAUUGCUUAUCAUUCGCUGUCAAUUCGAUAUUUUGAAAACAGAGAGACGUAUGAAUCCCAAAAAUUGACAAUUUGACUGGAAACGUAUAGAAACAGAAAAGAUGACGCGAUGUGAACACAGCCAAUCAGAGCGCCGCGAAUCUCCUCUUCUCCUCAGCUGACUGGAGACGGGAAAGAGCUCACUGCCAACUACUGGGAGGUCAGAAUUCAUUAUUCUGUGCAUCUGAUCUACCUCGCUGGAAAAAUCUGUUGGGGUCAGAUGCCUCCCUCUCAAAGUCCUCCAACUUGUAGAGCAAGAGCUCUCUCUUCUGGAUCAAGCGAGCAACCUCCUCCCAUGCAGCAAUUGCCUGAAGGCACAAAUACAUCCACGUGACAACAUAAAUCCUAGAUGAUCAUGAUGGAAAGGCAGGAGAGCUCAUUAUCAUUAUCUGUACCUCCUGCAGAUGGCGCCUCCACUCAUGAGAGCUGUAUUUGAUGGCCAUGUCUAGUCACUGUCCUUCUCUGAAAAACAGAUAUUUCUGCAUUCAUUUACGUAGUUUUGGACACUAAAUUAUGCAUUUUCAUAUAUAUACCAGUAUUUUCUUUCUUUUUUUUAUUUUAAGAAAACUAUAACAUGCCAUUCAGUUCUGGUUCCUUUCCCAAUCCUCCCAUCUCCAGAAUCCAGGAACAAAUUCUUGUUUCUGUCUCCUAAGUGAACUGAUCCUUUCCUGUUGCCUUCUGAAAGAGGUGACGAUCAGAUAAAAAUGAGGUUAACUUAAUAUCAAUAAAAUAACAAUAUAUUAAUAUACA
ensembl:lncRNA